UCAUUUAACUAUAAAUAUAAGUGUAUAUUUUGAAAAUAUAUAAAAGAUAAUAAUUCUAAUGAUUU
rnacentral:tRNA from 1 species